GUUCUUGCAUAAGGACAAUGAGAUGGAUAUGGGUUUGGUAUUACUGAUGUUGAUGAACUGCUCAUUUGUCAGACUGUCAAACCAGAUGAGCCUCAAAGGAACUAAGAGACAUCACUAUUCAUUUACCAGUCUUGUCAUUCUCCGUAUUGUAAAUUUGUCAUUCGAUUGAUGCUUGAAUGUAUUCAUAGACAAAAUAACAUGUUUGUUGAUCAGCUAUGAUAUGUGUUUCCACUGGCCACUUGCCGCUUUCUAAGGGGCAGAUUUUAGCUUGAGAAGAUUUUUGUGGAAACAUAGUUGUGCUCUUGCUCUGAUGGAAAUUCAGAGUAGGGUGUUCCAAACUAGAUUGACACACAUAGGAAUUUGUGACCGAGCUUUAUGCUCUUCACCUAUGCUAGAACUUGCAUUUUUUUUGUUGCUAUCUAUCCAUUAAUCUGUAUUCUAGUUGAAAGUUUUAGAGUUGUCAAUUAUUUUGAAACUCAGUUCACAUAGUAGCUGGUCCUUUUUUGGGAUAUAUUUGUUGUGUCUUUUCCCCAUUUUGUCUUAUAUUUUGUCAUACAUAGUUCAAUUAGCUAAUUGUCAUUAUGCCAUAGCUAACUUGUGCAACCUAUUGCCGCUCCACCAUAGGUCACAUGACCAUUCUUCAUACACCGCUUCACUAGGACUAACGCAGAACUACAAAUGAUGAAAAUUCCAAAAGAAGUUGCCUCUUGUUUGAACACCCCGAAGCAUGGGCUGGCGAGAUUAAGGUUGGGCAAAGAGAGCUUCAGGAGGACCGAGUAUGACACCUCACUUGUCGAUCGCUUAUUCUUCAAGCAAGGAUGGAAGAAGUUCCUCACGAGACAUGACAUGAGGUUGGCACUACAGUACUAAUUACAUUUAAGACCAUCGCCAAAAAUGAGUUGGAGAUUACAGUCAUCCUUUCAUGCCCUUUGAGAAGUUGAAGAUCAUGUUGGACGAGUUUCGGGCUUUCAUGAGUUAUUUAAUUAUUUCUCUGUGUCUUUUUUUAAUCAUGGAGGAGAACUACAUGUGAACUUUAUAGAUACAAGAAGAAAAGGGCAAAGGCCCGUACAAAGUUCAAUUCCUAUUAUGUUUAUUUUGUUUCUUCUUUGUCUACAUAAUGGGUUUUAAACUAUGUUUUGUGAAUCGGAUGUAUAUAGACAUGUUUUAGUGUGUU